UGGGGGAUAGCAGCUGGAAACGGCUGGUAAUACCGCAUAAGCGCACAAUGUUGCAUGACAUGGUGUGAAAAACUCCGGUGGUAUAAGAUGGACCCGCGUCUGAUUAGCUAGUUGGUGAGAUAACAGCCCACCAAGGCGACGAUCAGUAGCCGACCUGAGAGGGUGACCGGCCACAUUGGGACUGAGACACGGCCCAGACUCCUACGGGAGGCAGCAGUGGGGAAUAUUGCACAAUGGAGGAAACUCUGAUGCAGCGACGCCGCGUGAGUGAAGAAGUAAUUCGUUAUGUAAAGCUCUAUCAGCAGGGAAGAUAGUGACGGUACCUGACUAAGAAGCUCCGGCUAAAUACGUGCCAGCAGCCGCGGUAAUACGUAUGGAGCAAGCGUUAUCCGGAUUUACUGGGUGUAAAGGGAGUGUAGGUGGCCAUGCAAGUCAGAAGUGAAAAUCCGGGGCUCAACCCUGGAACUGCUUUUGAAACUGUAAGGCUGGAGUGCAGGAGGGGUGAGUGGAAUUCCUAGUGUAGCGGUGAAAUGCG
rnacentral:rRNA from 1 species